GAUGAACGCUGGCGGCGUGCCUAAUACAUGCAAGUCGAGCGAAUGGAUUAAGAGCUUGCUCUUAUGAAGUUAGCGGCGGACGGGUGAGUAACACGUGGGUAACCUGCCCAUAAGACUGGGAUAACUCCGGGAAACCGGGGCUAAUACCGGAUAACAUUUUGAACCGCAUGGUUCGAAAUUGAAAGGCGGCUUCGGCUGUCACUUAUGGAUGGACCCGCGUCGCAUUGGCUAGUUGGUGAGGUAACGGCUCACCAAGGCAACGAUGCGUAGCCGACGUGAGAUGGGGAGCGGCCACACGGGAACUGAGACACGGCCCAGACUCCUACGGGAGGCAGCAGUAGGGAAUCUUCCGCAAUGGACGAAAGUCUGACGGAGCAACGCCGCGUGAGUGAUGAAGGCUUUCGGGUCGUAAAACUCUGUUGUUAGGGAAGAACAAGUGCUAGUUGAAUAAGCUGGCACCUUGACGGUACCUAACCAGAAAGCCACGGCUAACUACGUGCCAGCCGCCGCAGUAA
rnacentral:rRNA from 1 species